rnacentral:rRNA from 1 species
GUGUGGGUUAGGGUAAGCGUGUGGAAAGCGGAGCGAUACAGGGUGACAGCCACGUACAGAAAGAUGCAGAUGUUGUGAGCGCGCUGCGUAGGCCGGGACACGUGGUGUCUUGUCUGAACAUGGGGGAACCAGGCCUCAAGGCUAAGCACUCUCGACUGACUGACAGUGAACAAGUACCGUGAGGGAAAGGCGACCAAAACCCCGGCGAGGGCAGUGAAAAAGAACCUGAAACCGUGU